rnacentral:rRNA from 1 species
GACGAACGCUGGCGGCGUGCUUAACACAUGCAAGUCGAACGGAAAGGCCCUGCUUGCAGGGUACUCGCGUGGCGAACGGGUGAGUAACACGUGGGUGAUCUGCCCUUCACUUCGGGAUAAGCCUGGGAAACUGGGUCUAAUACCGGAUAGGAGCCAUUUUUAGUGUGAUGGUUGGAAAGUUUUUUCGGUGUAGGGUGAGCUCGCGGCCUAUCAGCUUGUUGGUGUGGUAAUGGCCUACCAAGGCGGCGACGGGUAGCCGGCCUGAGUGGGUGGACGGCCACAUUGGGACUGAGAUACGGCCCAGACUCCUACGGGAGGCAGCAGUGGGGAAUAUUGCACAAUGGGCGCAAGCCUGAUGCAGCGACGCCGCGUGGGGGAUGACGGCCUUCGGGUUGUAAACUCCUUUCGCUAGGGACGAAGCUUUUUGUGACGGUACCUAGAGAAGAAGCACCGGCUAACUACGUG